rnacentral:rRNA from 1 species
GAUGAACGCUGGCGGCGUGCCUAAUACAUGCAAGUCGAGCGAAUGGAUUAAGAGCUUGCUCUUAUGAAGUUAGCCGCGAACGGGUGAGUAACACGUGGGUAACCUGCCUCGAUGAUCGGGACAACCCGGGGAAACCCGGGCUAAUACCGAAUGUUCUCCGACCACAUAUGUGGACGGCGUAAAGGAAGCUUCGGCCUCCGCAUCGAGAUGGGCCCGCGGCCCGUUAGCUUGUUGGUGGGGUAAAGGCCUACCUAGGCUUCGAUGGGUAGCUGGUCUGAGAGGACGGUCAGCCACACUGGGACUGAGACACGGCCCAGUCUCCUACGGGAGGCAGCAGUGGGGAAUCUUGCGCAAUGCGCGAAAGCGUGACGCAGCAACGCCGCGUGUGGGAAGACGGCCUUAGGGUUGUAAACCCCUUUCAGGAGGGACGAAGUUCGGCGCGUUAAUAGCGUGUCCGACUGACGGUACCUCCACAAGAAGCCCCGGCUAACUACGUGCCAGCAGCCGCGGUAA